AUUGUCGCUGAGACACGGCUGUCUCCUCACAGGUAACAUCUGGUGAUGGCAGAUGAACAAUAUUAAACAAGGCAAUAGUCUUGUCUGGGACGUCUUGGGCGCCUGAGGAUGGUGCUGGUGUCACUGCGACUGCAGCAGGUGCCACAGUGUCGGUACGACGUUUCUUAAAAACACUUGAAAUCCUGCUAAUUAGAGACAGGUUGCCCUUGGACUUGGAGCUUUUAACUGGUGCAGCUCCUUCUUUUGAACCCUUGACCACCAGUGGAGAAGAGGUGAACUGCUCCUGAGGAACACUUACUGGGACAGCUGGUGACACUUUGGCUGGUGGUUUUGGUAAAGGAUGAAUGAUCCCUGUGGAAGAGACCUCAGGAACAUCUGACUGACUUCUUGUUGGGGUUCUAGGUCUGAACCUCUUCAGGUUCCCUUUAACAAAUGUUCCAAUCAUUUUGGUCAUGUGAUGAACCUUAGUAUCCGGUCUGUGGGCAAAUGUCUUAUGCCGUGGGGUCUCCUUGGGUGUCUCUAUAGUAGACUUGAUACUGUCCACUACAUCUUCCACAACUAAGCUCUUUAGAGAAUCUGAGCUCCCACAGCUGACUUCCACCACGUGAAGGACUUCUGCAAAGGUUGGUGGAAUUGAAUCACAGAUAAUGUCUGGUGAAUGCUGCUGAGACUGGACUGUCUCCUCACAAGUAAUGUCUGCUGAAUGCUGCUGAGACUGGACUGUCUCCUCACAGGUGACGUCUGGUGACUGCUGCUGAAACUGGACUGUCUCCUCACAGGUAAUGUCUGGUGAGUGUUGCUGAGACUGGACUGUCUCCUCACAGGUAAUGUCUUGUGAAUGCUGCUGAGACUGGACUGUCUCCUCACAGGUAACUUCUGGUGACUGCUGCUGAGACUGGACUGUCUCCUCACAGGUGACAUCUGGUGACUGCUGCUGAGACUGGACUGUCUCCUCACCGGUAACUUCUGGUGACUGCUGCUGAGACUGGACUGUCUCCUCACAGGUGACGUCUGGUGAAUGCUGCUGAGACUGGACUGUCUCCUCACAGGUGACGUCUGGUGACUGCUGCUGAGGCUUGACUGUCUCCUCACAGGUAUCUUUUGGUGACUGCUGCUGAACAAUAUUAAACAAGGCAAUGGUCUUGUCCGGGACAUCUUGGACAUAUGAGGAUGGUGUUGGUGCCAUUGCAACUGCAGCAGGUGCCACAGUGUCGGUGCGACGUUUCUUAAAAAAUCUUGAAAUCCUGCUAAUUAGAGACAGGUGGCCCUUAGACUUGGAGCUUUUAACUGGUGCAGCUCCUUCUUUUGAACCCUUGACCACCAGUUGAGAAGAGGUGAACUGCUCCUGAGAAACACUUACUGGGACAGCUGGUGACACUUUGGCCGGUGGUUUUGGUAAGUGAUGAAUGAUCUCUGUGGAAGAGACCUCAGGAACAUCUGACUGACUUCUUGUUGGGGUUCUGGGUCUGCACCUUUUCAGGUUCCCUUUAACAAAUGUUCCAAUCAUUUUGGUCAUGUGAUGAACCUUAGUAUCCAGUCUGUGGGCAAAUGUCUUAUGCCGUGGGGUCUCCUUGGGUGUCUCUAUAGUAGACUUGAUACUGUCCACUACAUCUUCCACAACUAAGCUCUUUAGAGAAUCUGAGCUCUCACAGCUGACUUCCUCCGAAUGUAGGACUUCUGCAAAGGUUGGUGGAAUUGAAUCUCCUAGAGAAGUCACCACCUCAGUGACUAAAUCUUUUUCUUUCUCUUCCUUCAGUGCCGCCAGCACUGAUUUACAGAUGAGUACUUCUAUGUUAAACAGAAGCUCUCUCAACAUUUGCUGGGUGUCAUCAUCAGGCUGGCCUGAUACCAGAGCUGCCCACUGCUGUGAGGUAAUCCUAUUGAAGAAGGUUACAAUGAGUGGGCGAACCAUGUCCACUGUAACCUUUCUGAUGUCCUCAGUAUCUAAACUGGCUCUUCUAUCCAUGGUGGUUUGGUGCUUUGUCUUUUGAUGAAAAAAUCGUGAUGAGUUGCUUUCUUAGUUUCCUCAAACUGUAGCUCACUCCAACAACAACCAUCUAAAUGCUUCAGUCUCAUCUGGACCUAAACUGGAUCUGAC
ensembl:lncRNA